GGUUGUGGCUCAGUAGUAGAGCGCUCACCUAGCACAUGUGAGGCCCUGGGUUCGAUCCUCAGAACCA
rnacentral:tRNA from 1 species